rnacentral:lncRNA from 11 species
CAAGGAUGUCUGUCCCUUCCACAGCUGCUUCUAUGGGGAAAGGUUCACACACAGUGAAAUUCUAUCAUGGGAUAAUUUUCUCAAACUGAAAUAGCUGUGUUAGAAUUUUCCCUUCAUUUGCUGAAAUGUGCAAGAAAUGUAAAGGGAUCUAAAAUUUUCCUUUUUUCAGCCAAGGAAUCUCUAGGUCCUGCAGUGAGACUCUAUUGCCAACUUCCUCUGCUGUCCUGUUUUGUUUUUCAAGAACAUCCUUAAAACACUGUGGUUUUCCUGUUCUUUGGUCAUGGGAACAACUUGGAAGAUUAUUCUCUUUCCACAAAUUAAGAAACAUCAUUACUAUUUUCUUAUGUUUUCCUUUGACUUUCCCAAAGCCAUUCAAUUUUGUCUUCAG